rnacentral:misc_RNA from 1 species
UCCGUGUUGACCACGGCAGUCUCCUAUGAGUCCCCGACAUUACUCGCUGGCAACAUAGGACGAGGGCUGCGCUCGUUGCGGGACUUAACCCAACAUCUCACGACACGAGCUGACGACAGCCAUGCACCACCUGUGCAAGGCCCUUACGGACCUCACAUCUCUGUGAGAUUUCCUUGCAUGUCAAGCCCAGGUAAGGUUCUUCGCGUUGCAUCGAAUUAAGCAACAUGCUCCGCCGCUUGUGCGGGCCCCCGCCAAUUCCUUUGAGUUUCAACCUUGCGGCCGUAGUCCCCAGGCGGUUCACUUAAUGCGUUAGCUGCGGCACCGAGGGUUGCCCCCCAACACCUAGUGAACAUCGUUUAUGGCCAAGACUAC